CUGGGUUAUAGCCUAUCCAGGGUUGAGUUUUUGAUUUAUCUCCUUUUAAGGCAUCCCCUUGAGAAGGUCCUGCUCUAAGACACUCUGGCCUUAAUCUCCAAGCCUGCAGAGUGUCAACAUUACAAGGUCGGCAAUCCACAACUCCCGCAAAGUUACUGGUUUCCCAAUUGUUGCUCAACCCUCAUCACGUAGGCCUAGCAACCUUCUGUUACCCAGUCCCUCAUAGCAACAGGCUGCCUAGCAAUUUCUGGAAUGACAACAUAACAUCCCAUAUCACACUUGCAGGCUCUUCCUGUGAGCAUAAAGCUGGCUACCUCAUGAGAAUCACCUUAUGCUGCACUUCCCAGAGAGUUCCUUAGGACACCAGAACUGAAGUCAACGGGAAUUUUGGAGGUGUGAAGAGCUACUCAGAAGAAGCAAGGAUUUUCCAGUUAUAGGCUUCCUGGUACACAAAAACCAAGGAUAUCCUGGGAAGAGUCCAGCAGAGGGCCACGAAGAUGAUAAAGGGCCUGGAGCAUCUCCCUUUGAGGAAAGGCUGAGCAAACUGGGCUGUUCAGCCUUGUGAUAAGAAGACUGAGAGGUGCCCCUUCCAUAAGAAGAUAUGAGCAAGAGGCUUGCAGGACAAUAACAACUACCAAAAUGGAAAUCUAUAAGCUACAUCAUAGCUGAAUUGUGCAACACGAAUCCAGUCUUGCAUAUUAUGGAGGAGAUAAAUGAGGGAAGUAGGAGGAAAGAAUCUAUCAUUGUCCUACAUGCAUCAUAAUUUUUUCAGCAGAACUAUUUUACUUCAUAAAAUGGUGCUUCUUCAGGUAAAAAAACAAACAAACAAACAUUUGUGGAAAUACACCAGUCUACAACAAGAAAUCUGCCAGGAUCCCCAGGAAGAAAAGAGCGUUUAGAGAGAUGAAUUUCAGAGGAGGAGAAUUAACAUCCCAGGAGUGAUGGUUUAUGUAUUGAAAUGCUUAGUGCUACACUGUGUACCAGCUGCAAGUGGCCUAAUGCCAGCCCUGGAUGUAGAGCAGCUUCAAGUGUGGCAUUUGCACUACUGGCUCAGGCACCUAUGCUUUCCAUGUACUGAACACAGAGAGCUGGGGAUGCUGAAGAGUUGGGAAAGUGCAUAAUUCAAGCCUCCAAAGAUACUGGGUGAAGCAUGUUCCUGAAGGAAUACAUUUCUACAAGACAUUUAUCUAGCUGAACUGUUUUGGAUUUCUUCCCCUAAUGUUAAAAUGCUCAAAAUGCUAUUUUGCCUAACCAAUUGCACCUCCAUGAGGAUUCAAGAAGAGUACAUGUACCUGCCUUGCUUGUGUUAGAUAAAAUCUAACACAAAAUCAAUUCCAGAUGACUAGUCAGAUCUUCACCAAAAUAAAAUUACAUCUACCAUGCCAAAGCUAAGUGAGGAAAGAGUGAGGUAGGUAAAAACCAACCAACCAACCACAAAAAAAAAUGAGAUACAUAAGAUCUCAGUAGUGUAAGGACUAUUCAUUUAAAUCUCUGCUCCAGUUGGUGGGAAGCUACGCUCCUGAGGAAGGUGAGAAGUUAAUGUUCCUGCAUGCUCAUGUAUGUCCCCUUGGGUUCCUUCAGCCCACUCCCCCAAGCUGCUGUUUCUCCCUCACACCUGAUGCAUGGUAAGGAGGAGGUAAUGCACAUAGGAAGGGUUUGGUGAACAGUGGCUAGUGCCUGUGUCACGGGGCAAAUACACUCCUCAGUCCUCCCCUGUCCACUCCAAUUAUUGGAGCAAUUGUUUUCACAUAUAUAAACCUGGAGGAAGACUUAGGCAGCAAAAGAGGCCAAAUGUUGUCCAAUUGAUUUAUUACAAGUUCUAAGCAGCUAAGGAACGCAGGGAAGAUGGGGAAGUUAGAGAUAGUAAAGAGAGAAAUCCUAGCAAAUGGUUUACAAAGCAGGGAUAGUCACCACCAGAGAUCCAGUGAAGUCUCAGUCUGUUGACCCACACAGCUGCAGUCUGUUAGAGGGUGUACUUGCUCUACUUCAGAACUUUUCUGUUUUUUAUCCUUUUCAUAGUGUCACUUUGGUUGCCAGGGGCACUUCUUUUUUUCUUUUUAGUUUACCACAGCUUGCUUUAGAUGUCAGGAAGCACUUAUGUUUUGUUUGUCAGAGGAAACAGCACAUGCCCCUCCCAAUUACCUUCCAGGGUAAUUGGUAGUUGAUCUGUCACAUGGGGGGCUGCUAGGUAAGUACAUUGACUGUAUGGUGAUCCUCUCCUCUGAGAUGACUUCCUUUAGCCGGCUUGAAUGCCCCAAAGGAGCAACAGCCAAAAAUGGUUUCCUCUGAUUGCCCAGUCGCAUAUGUUUCUCUUACUGCUGAGCUCACAAUAAUCAUUAACCCCAAAAGCUUGUUGAGCAGGUUAUGCCUUGGAUGGGUGCUGCUGAAUAAGCUUUGAGCCAAAAAUUGUUCCAGCUUCUCACAUCCCCACAGUUAGUUUGCCCACAGCACAGGACAACUGUUGUUCUCCUAUUCAUGCACCCAAACUUCUCUAGACAGCUAACAGAGUGGCCCAUGUCUUAUGCUAGACUAGAGUUAGAUGGUGGCUGAGGGCACUUUUCAAGGAACCAAGACAGCAGCAUGCCGAAUACCUGCCUGGCCAGACAGUCACAACCACUCAUAACGUCUGUUCAAAUGUGAACAGGAAAUUCUUGCUCUGAAGCUGGCUUUAUGAAUUGGACCCCAUGCUCUGAAGUGUGGAGGAAGGUGAAUGCAUUAGGAAUUUGUGGCCACUUCUGUCUGCAGUUUCUAUAUCAGUAGGUUGGCAUUACUAAUACAGUGGCUUUACUGGUAUAUAGACUUCCAGUCACAUUUACAAAAUGCAUAAGAGGCGCAAUUAAAUCCUUGCAUUCUUGAAACACUUCUGAUCUUUUUCAUGUAGCCUCUCUCUCUCCUGACUUCAAUAAAAAAAAAAAGUGGGAGUAAAAAAAAAAUAGAACAACAAGGUCUGGAGAAUCUCAUAAGUAUACAGAGUAUCAUUAGUAGGUGGUGAUAUAAAAAAAUACAAGAAAUGUUCCUCUCCGUUACUGUAUAUAGAUAUGCCUGGUUGGUCAAAGCCUGCUACUACAAACACCCAGAAUAUAAUUGCAUAUGAUGUUGCUGAACAUCAUUAACCUGAUUGUUCCAGUAAUCUGAUUAGUAACUGCCUUCGAACUCUGUUUUCAUGAAAUUUUUCUUACCAUCUCAAGAAUUAAUUUAUCCAUUGCUGGCUCUUGCAAUCACUUGCUUAUCCCAGCUAAGGCCCAGCUGUGUUGUCUGAGCUCCUUGAGCUCUUCUCUGUAUGUCAGUCAUAUGUUACUCUGCAUUGUGAGCUGUCAUUCAUUUUAAACACAGCCAUGUGGAUGGCUUGGGUCAUGUUCUCCUCUCCUCCCCUACCAGGCUCCUGGGAAAUUUCCACAUUCCAUUUGUAAUUUUCAGGAAUCACUGUCCUGUUUCUCUCUUUCACCUUAUUAGAUAGGAGAACUUACAACAAUGUCCCAUCUUAAGAAAGAUGUGUAAACUCAGCUCACCAAGUAAUGUCACCAGUAUCUCAGGCAAGUAUCAGAACUACUCUAUUAAAAAACAAUAUCAGCCUGUGAAAUCUUCAUCUACCAGUUCAAAUAAAUGGAAACCUUAACUUUUUUCCCAUUACUUUAAGAAUAUCCAGAAGAAUAUAGACUGCCUGCAAAAACAUCUUUUGCAAUGAGGUAUUGAUUUUGAGGAAGUUUUUGCAAUAGAAAGGUUUAUGAGAUCCAGAGCACUCCAGUCACUCCUGAUGGCAGAAAGGAAAAGAAGUCUGAAAUGAAAACCUGGUAUUAUUGAUCUAAAAUUGAUGGUUUUGAUAGAGUGCCAUUUUUGAAACCAAGAAGAUAUGGGAUUUAUUCCAGUGUGAAAUACAAACCAAUUUCAAAACCUUAAGAGCUCAUAAGACUGCCAGACUGCAUGGUGCUAAUGAGUAACGCAUCAGGAGGGAUUUGCAGAGCUACAAAGAUUAGACAGUUCUUACUCUUUUUUUUUUUUUUUUUUUUGGUCAUAGAAUUCAUUAUCUGAAUAGGGGAAUCUCUGAAUGGCUAGAAGAUGUCAUCUCCAUUACAGCAUUUGCAGAAAGUGGCUAAUGAUGUAUGCUUCUUCUCAGGACAGUGGCAUCCUGAAGGGCAUGGAAAAACAUUCCACCUACAAAAAGCAUCCUGAUAUUCAAGGCUGGCUCUGAGGCUAAAACCACUGCUCUCCAAGAGAAUGGACUGCAGGGGCAGCAGAGGCUCUCCCAUUUCUGAACCUUGCAAUACUGGGCUGUAUAAUGCUGCUAUCCCUAUAUGAGUGAAGGGGCAUGCAAGAAAGAUUAUUCUUGGAGGAUGGCUAAGACACUAGAUGAGAACACAUCUUUCCAGCAGCAGCUGCAAUUGCUGUACCCAUCAUCUUGCAGGUGUUUGGAAAAAAAAAGUCACUGAGCUGAAAUUCUCAGGGGUCUGCUGCUCCCUCAAGCUCUCCCAACUUUUCCUGUUCUGGGAGCAGGCAAGAACGUUCAAAACACAGGCAACUUUGAUAUAUAUACAUAUUUUUAUAUAGAUAUGUAUAUAUACACACACUACAUAUAAAGAUAUAGAAUGAACCAGUCCUUUGUCAUUAGAGACAAAGAUACAGUGUUUGGUGUUUUGACCUCAACUGACAGAUAAGCCCUGCACCUAGUCAUUGGGACUCAUCAUGUCCCAAGCAGGUUGGGACAGAAUCUCAAAAGCCAAAGGGAGAAAGUGCUAAUGUGCUGAGAUUGAAACAGUUUGGCUGCAGCAACCAAACCCUGGUACAGUUCAUGACCUUGUGUGACAUGGGCCCAGAAAAAAAGUGAAGUUCAGACACUAAAUUUUAGAAGAGCUAAUUUUCAGUUAUUAGAAGAAUUAACAGAGGACGCCUCCUGGAAAACUGUCCUUAGGGAUAAAGGAAUAGAUCAGAGCCCUCAAUUCCCCCAUGUAAGAAAUUAGGAAGGGAAGGCAAGAAACCAGCAUGGCUAAUUAAGAACCUGCUGGUCAAGGCAUGUUGUAAGAAGGAAAUGCAUAGGCAGUGGAAGCAGGGACACGUGGUCUAGAAAGAGUAAAUGGAUGCCACUCAGAUGUGCAUGGAUGAAAUCAGGAGAGCCAAGGCAAAGUUCUCCAUCAUAUUUGAAAGUUCAUGACUGUCAGGUGAAGUGACUGGAAAAAUGGAAAUAUUACUCCCAUUUUUAAGAAAGUUAGAAACAAAGACUCAUGGAACUAGCAACCACUGAGUCUCACUUCUGCGUCCAGGAAAUUCAUGGAGCAGAUCCUCCUGGAAGAGAUGUUAAGGCACAUACAAGAUAGGGAAAUUAGUCAACAAGGCUUCACUCAAAGGCAAAGAUGGAAACAGACAUUUUGGUAGGGCCUGUACUGAUAGGAUGAGGGCAGAUUUAUAUUAAAUAUAAGGAAGAAAUUUUGCAUAACAAGGAUGGUGAGGCACUGAAACUGGACAAGAGGUAGAAACUGCAUUCCUGGAAGAAUUCAAGGUCAGGCUGGAUGGGCUGGGGGCAAACUUUUGUAAUGAAAGGUGUCCCUGACUAUUUCAGUGGGAACGGAAUCAGAUGACUUUUAAGUCCCUUCUACCCUAAAAGCAUUCUAUGAAUUUAAGGUUUCAUCAUAAUACAUUGUAUGAAAUAAAAACAAUUUUCCUUUGGUCUUUUCCAUGCUCUUUCUUUUGCUUUGAUGUACUUCCUUCUGUUUUAAUAUUUCUUGUCCUAUCAAGAGUAUAAAAACGUGCAAGAUUUACUUUUAAUUUUUAAUAUGGUUAUUCUUUUAAUGAUUAUCUGCCUUAGUUCUUUUGCAAAUAAAUAUUUUCUUUUCUCCUUUGUUUGCUUUUGUUUCCUCUCUGUUGUUCUAUUUGUACUUUUAAACAAAAAUUAAACUUUUUCUGUUUAUGCAUUUACCUUGCUCUAUACUUUCAGUCUUUUUUUUUCCCCUGCAUUUAUACUAGCAGCACUAAUUUUCAUUUAGCCUCAGAUCCAAUAAGAGCUUUUAGAAUUCCCCCCCCCCCCCCCCGGAGAAAGUUUUCAUUCAAAUAUUUUUCCUUCACUCUGUACCUACAUAUCGCUGAAGCAGCCAGUCAGAUAUUGGAUUUUCCCCAAGAGCAAAUGAAAAUAAGAGAUUUUUCCUCUUAAAAAAAAAAAAGAGGAAAAGACUAUGUGAGCUUCAGUUCCUUCCAAUAAAUUUAUAUCUAUACUGUUUAUGUCCUCCUAACUAAUUAUAUUGCAUCUCUAGAGUAGUAUUUUGCAUGUCAUUUUCCUAUUCUUUUGACCACAAUUGGCUGUUCAACUUGACUUUGAAAAACUGCUGAAAAUACAUAAUGAAGUUUUCUUUCUACCUUAAAUGCUACAGCAAAUUAACUAGAGAAUGCAAACAGUUCAGAAUAAUGUGUACAUAAAGCAGAUUUUUUUUCUAUUUAAUACUUAAUGUCAGAGCAAAUGAUUGACAAAUUGAGCAGAAACAAUCCACUAUCAUUAUCUGUCUUCAGUGUUGGAUAGCAAACAAUGUAUUGGCAGUGCUCAGCUUCUUUAUGAAGCUGAUUUCUACAUGAAAUUAGAAUAAGUAUUAAUCUCUAUCUGUACAUAUGAAGAUACAGUCUUGUACCCAUGAAUUAAAUAGAUUUGUAACCUAAGAAAUGAAACAGUGGUGUUAAUUCUCUUUAUAAACAAAUAUUUAGCAUGAAGAACUUAGGCAAAUAUUUUUUAAUUUCUAUUUUAUGUUACACAUAGAUUAGAUAAAACUUACUGUAAACUUGCCUGGUUGUGCUAUUGAAGUUUGAGUUCAUAUUUUUGAUGUACCUUUGAUGGCCAUGACAGUUGAUUGUUUACAUCACUGAGGCUAUAGAGACUCCAGCCUGACAAAAUCCAUAGUACUGUCAGACACUGAACAGCACAACUACCUAGUCAAUUCUACCUUGAAAUUCACUAGUAGUGAUGCUGACAUUGCCAUUUAAUGUUUCUCUUUCACAGUAAAUUUUUAAAGAAGGUUGCUAAUUAAGGACUUGUCUUAUGUGAAAGAAAAGUGUUAAAAAAAUUCCCAAAAAUCUGAAGAGCCAUUAGGCCCUUUUAUAUCAAGUCUGUGUGUCACUGUUCUCAAAAUAAGGCUUUCAUUCUUGAAGAAGUGUUUUAAAAUGAACUGUCUUUAGGGAUCACUUUAAAAAUCAAUUAAACCAAGUUAACACUUGGCAACUUCUUUGGAACUAUGAACAGGAACAUCUCAGGGACAAAUACAGGCUUUUUUGCAAGGGAAAGACUUCAGCCUAUCCUUUGAAGCUCUAUCUUCUAGCAAUACUGUAGUUCUUUCCUUUGAGCAACUUAUAUACAGAUUAUUUCCCAAAACAGAAAUAAAACCUCACGUUCCUUGGGAGCAGAGAAGUGUUUUGUUGGUAGGUUGCUAGCAGAAGAACAUUCCCUGUGGCUGUGCUGUACAGAUUUGAAGGAUGCUUUCUUAACAUCUCCUAUAAGCCUGAAAUUGUUUAAGAGUUCUUAAAAUAUAAUUGCAGAGACUGUCUUCUAUUUAAGUGUGCAUGCUGAAAUACAUAGCUUCUGCUGAAGAAAGAGUUGAGGUAGUUCUAAGCUUCAAAUUCUAACAGUUUAGCACAGCAGAUUCACAGAAAUACCAAUCAAUACAAUCUGUAAAAUCUCACCACACUGAGAAAUUUGGAUCAUUCCACAUUCUUCGCCCAACUAACCUUCUGCUUUAUCCAGGCCCUGAAGUCUCAUAGAACUUCACAUAAGACAUCAACAAGACAGUGCUAUAAGACAUAGCACUGUAGAAAUCUCUUGGGAAAAAUUUGGCCUUCUGUCAAGUUUAUUGGAGUCCAUGGAAAAGUUUCCUGUUAAUGCUAUUUUUGCCACUGAACUCAGCAGAAUUUUACCUCUGUUCUUAUAUUCAAUAACUAUUUUGAGGAUGUUUAAUGUACUCUGCAAUUUAAGUUUCAGCUGUCUUUGAGCAUUAUUCACACACAUUUCUAUUGUUAUCUAAAAUUCAAAUAUUUUAUUAUUUCUUAUACAGUCCAGAAAGUUUUGGUCACCAGAAAGAACAGAUGGUGAAAAGAAUGUUUACUUUUAAAAAUCUGAUGGUGUGUUAGCAUAGAAACAGGCUAUAAUAUUUUGAAGCUCAUUGAGGGUAUUAAGUUUCUGUGCUUUGAAGAAAAGCCAAGAUGCUAUUCAUGGCACAUAUAUAUUACAGAGCAAAGAGUAUGUUUAAUAUGAAAAUACUUCAAAUUUAAGGUACAUCUUUAAAAUGUCUGUUAUGGGCAAUGCACUAGAGGAAGAUGACCAAAAGGGAUCACAUCUUUCUGUCACAGCACUGGCAGAAGCUAUGCAAAGGGCAAAGGCUAGUGUUUGUUUUGGAAACAGGCCUGAGAGGUAGGAGUGUUGAAGGAAAUGAUGAACACACUUGUGUCAAGAGUAGUGCUGCCAUUGUCCUAAUUAAGUCUGUGAAUACUGGAAUAAACAAACACCACUGCACUGAGUUGAGACAAUUUCCUUCUCAGCACAUGCUUUUCAGAACUUGUCUAAUCAGAGAAGUUGAGUAUCUCAUAUGUCUCUCUGAACACAAAUGUUUCUAUAUAUUUUUGUUGCAAUGCUGCUGCGACCACCUUAUUCUUGCACUGUGAUGUUAUGCAGUGAGACUUGCAACAUAAAAUGUGAUAAAGAAAAAAAUGUUACAUUCCUAUUGACAAGAAUUUUCAUCUACAAAACAUUAGAACCCUGAAGACUGUAUGAGUGUAUGUGAGGUAGUCUGGAAGCAGUUUUGCAUAUUAUCACAAUUAUCACAACAGCUAUUCACAUUUCAACUAUUAUUACUAGGAGUCACUACUUGCUCCUGGCAACACUCAGCACACAGAGGUUUUCUGCAAACACAGAGCAGAGUGAAAUUCUAAACAAAUUAAAAAGAAAUUGAGGGGGAAAAAUAAGCACAUCUUAAAAAAGUAAACGACAAAGACAACAGAAUUCUGGAACAAUAUUAAUCUACUUGGUAUUAAAGCAACACUGUUUCAGUCACAUGAAUUUUACCUGAACUAUUCCAGUUUUCAUUUGGUGCAAUACAAAUGCACUUGUUCAAAGGAAUACUUUAACGUGUUUUCCCAUACACUUGCAGAAUGUGCUUGCAUAUCUCAUUUUAAAGGUCGCUGUGUCUUUUAUAGAUCUCUGAUCAGUUUUACCAAUUUACUCGCCUGGCAGUGCUCUCUAUGCUGUAAGACCAAUUCCCAUUGUGUUUUUUUUUUUUUUUUAAAUUCAAUUCCUCCCACUGCUUCUGCAAAGUGGACACAGAGUUUGGGACAACACCAGAGCCUUUUAGCCACACUGAGGUAAUAGCUGUAUAAGCCUCCAGAUCGCAGGAACACAAGUGCUGCACUACUGCUGCAUUUAAAAGUCAAAAUCUCCUCUUCCCUAAUCAAGUGAUUACCCUAAUUUUCUGGGUUUUAUUUUAAUAAUUUAUAUAUAGACAAAUAUUUAUGCAUUUCAAGCAACACUGCACUAUCCUUUAGGUUGAUCACCCCCACCCCCCAAUUUUAUUUCCCUAAAAAUUAUUCUCUACAUAUUUCUGUCAUGGAAAUAACAGUCUGCUAAACAUAGCAUCACCACAGGACACUCUGCAUUAGAGAUCUUACUGAAGGCUCACAAAGUGACAGACAGAAUGACUUCCCUGAAACAGUUACAACACACCUGUUGUAGUAGGCAUCUUGUGGGGGCACAGGAUGUACAGGACAGGCUUCUCCCUAAGCAUAGAGAGACAGUGCUAUCGUGCUGACCUUGAUGCAGAGAAAACAGGAAAAAAAGAAGGAUGAGAAAAGAAUGUGGAAAUGGCCAAAUAAGGCACAAUGUUACCUGGUAUGAACCAAUCAGAGUGGGACAUGACAGCACAGUUUUGUAGGUAAAAUGUAUAUAAGCUGUGUUCAGUAGUGAAUAAACGCCAUUUUACCGCUCAUCAUAUUGGUGUCACCUCGGUAUAUGGCCAAGCCGCAGGCUCCCCAAGGCAACGAGCAUCAUGGUUGACUUCAAUAGUCAACACAUAUCAAAACUUCAGUGUUUUACCAAGAAUUAUCUGACCUAAAAUUCAAUUUACAUUUAUUGUAAUCACUGAUAGACAUGGAGGGAAAAAGACAAUUCUCUACAUUAACAUGUAGAAAUUCCAAUAUCAUGUGCUUCUUUAAAAUAUCUUUAUUAAGGAAUGGAGGAACAUUUUCCAAGAUCCUUCAUAUUUAGAUGGAGAAUUAUGUAAGCUUAUCACCUCUCAGAUACUGAAAAAAAUAUGGUUUUCCCUUAGAUUGCAAUAAGACUUUUGUCUAAUUUAUCAUUUUUCUACCUAUCAUUAAUAUUAUUUGUGAAAUAAGAAUACUACUCAUGGAAUAUUAUUGGAAAGUUCUUCCUGUUCAAUGAAAAAUAUAAUGAGCAAUUUUUUUUUUUUACUCAUUCAAGAAAAAUUUCCUUUCUGAUUAGUUCCCAAACUAUGCCAUAUAUUUGCAUAAUGGUGCAUUACAGGACCACAUCCAAGACUUGCUGAGAAGUAGCCAGAAGAGAGAUGGUCUUGUUUGCUCUAACAUUCAUUUCAGUUGCAGGUUUACAAUUUUAAGGCUAAGCUGGGUAGGUACAUGCAAAUAUUUUGUGAUUCUUCAAUUCCAAAAUAUCCCUCCCCCCCCCCCCCCCCAUCCCAUCCAUCUUGCUCCAAUUCUGGUUAAGUUACACAGAAAAAACUAGAGGUCCUUCUCAGCAAGAAGUUGACUACAAGUCAGCAAUAUACCCUUGAAGCAAAGAGGGCAAACAUCCUCCUGGCUGCAUAAGAGGAAGUAAUUCCAGCAGGUGGAGAAAGGCAACCAAUUCCCGCUACUCAGCACUGACACAUCUGGCAUACUGGGUCCAGUUCUAGGCUUCCCAGUAAAUGAGAGACACAUACUGGAGGGAACCCAGCAAAGAGCCACUAAAAGGAGAAGAAUUUGGAGCAGAAGCCCCAAACCCCUGAAACUUCAAUUUCUGAGAUACUGUGAUUGCCAGUUAAAAGAGAGGGUCUCUGUCAGGGCAUGAUACAGGAACAUGCCCUUACAGUGCUUCUUUCUAUACCUCUUUCUUUUCACCCUUCUGAUUCCUCCACAAGUUGGGGGGGGGGGGGGGGGGAGAGGGUUCUGUGGGACUAGAAGUUGCUUUCUUCCAGCAUGAAAAUACUUGUUUAUACAGAUCAUCUGCAUUGUGUCCAUACCUUCAGGAAUUCCCUGGUGUUCUUUCAAGUUCCUAGAGAUUAAUUCAUAUACUUUAUCCUAUGAAAUUUUUUUGCUUCUGCUUAAAGAACAUACCAGAGUCCACCAGCCUCAAUGCCAGAUUACAUAUAGACUAGAUAUGUUCCAUUUCUCUCCAGGUCUCUUCUUGGGCCCUUCCAAGAUAUAAUUAUGACUUCCUCAGAUAAAUCAUUGUUUUAACUCUACAGUCAAUGAAUUGAUGUUUGGAUUCUGUUGCAACACUCUAGAAUAAAAUUGGGAGCAGUACUCCCUCAAGCCAUGGCUGAGGUGUGUAUGGAUGUUUGCUGGUGCUAAACCUGACAGAGCAGCAUAGUGUGAAGGAAGCUACAUCUAGGACAGCUUCUGGUGCAUACUAGAAUUCUUGAUUAUUUGCAUCCUCCAAAUGGUGCACAGUAUCACCCAGAGAUCCCUACCUGAUAGGUAGCAGCGCAGAACACUGGUAAUAAGUUACCACAGUCCUACAUAAAUCCUGCAGACAAACAGUAACAUAGUACCUAAGACAAGGAGUGAGUUGAUUUACCACUGUUUUAAUUGGUAGCACAGAAAAGUGAUCCCAGCAUGUGAAGCUUGUCCCAGUGUCAGGAAAGAGGUUUUUUUUUUUUUAAUUACUUCUAUCAGUGGCCCCCUAUAAUAAAAAACUACAGAUUUCUGCUACCUCAUAAAACUCCCUCAUAUUUGGCAGUAAUUCAUCACUCUUACGAGUUCCAGAUUCAUUUCUUAUUUAAUUUGGAAAUAGAAGCAUUUCCAUAUUGGCUUCAAGCUGUAGUCCAGUGGCCCAAGUAGAGCAUAGAUAUCAACAAUUAAAAUUAUUUUUCCUCAUGAUUUAUCAAUACGGAUAUUAUAAUAGAUCAUGAUAGGAAUGCAAAGAGGUCAUUCAUGGAAAAGUCGUUAGACCUGACUCAAAGCACCAAAAAACAUACAAGGAAAACAUAGAUCUAAACCUGAAAUUAGUGAAUCAAGCUAUUUCUAAUAUAAAGAGUAUUGACAGUACAGUAUUUAUUUCAGCUGAAAUUGAUUUUCCUCUUUAAAUUUCUCCACUGAGUUUAUAGAUUGACUUUCAACCAAACCUGAAACCUUGUACACACUUUUUAUAGAUUUUCCUUCCAAAUUGUUGUCUCUAGACAGAUUUAGUUGUUGAGUGUUUGAUAGACAAGUUCUGCUUCUGAGUCUUUAAAGUAAUUUUCAUUUUCCUUACAACAUCUUGAGAUGUCAUCUGAUGUAUUUACUUUGAUAAAGGAAGGAGAAAUUAGUUGUCAAUGAAGACUGAUUUAAAUGAAAAGAGAAAGGAAAAUAAGCAUUUAACUAGUACACUUUAAUAUACCUAGCUAAACUAAAUUGCUUUAUCAUUCUGAUUAACUUCUUCAGAAUUCACAAAGGAAAGAAAUUAAGAGAUUUCAUGGGUUAUAUUUACAGUGACAGCCUCACUUUGAAACAUGAAGGAUCAAGUUUGCAUCUCCCUUUUACUUGUGCCUUCAUAAUUAGUGGACCACUAUUUUUCCUGAGAUGCGUUUGGUUAUAUUUUGAUAUUCCUAGGCAGGAAGCUCUGCUCUUAGAACACUAUGUCAGACUGCACCUUCCUACCAAUAAACUGAUAGUUGCACUAGAAAUUGGGAAGCUAAGUGUGAUCACCUCAUUACUGUACCUAUACAUAAAUGUUACCUUUGGUCCUUGCAAACAGAAGAAGUAUCCACAUACUACAGUUUCAAUAAGGCUGGAGCGUAAAGCUUGGAAAGCAAGGCUGCCCAAACACUGAAAUUGGAAGAUGUUCCUCAUCUGCUUAUAGCUUUGGCAAGCAGUAAAAGUACCCACAGUAAAAUCAUAUCCCAGGCUCCUGUUGUUGCAUGAAAGGUAAGUUCAGAUAAGAGUAAGGGAAUAACAGAUAAGAAGGAAGGAUAAGACCUCUACAGGUUUUAAUUUCCUUUCACGUUUUUUCUUCUUGUCCAAACAGUUGCUAAAUUUAAUAUUCAUUAAAACCCAACCUUGAGCUGUUUUUCUGAGCUGGUAGAUUUUACCACAUGGCACUACUUUGGUUUUGAUCUGACUCAAUCACUCUAGUAGAGAUGUAUAAUUUACAUUGUUGCAGGAGAGGACCAAGAAUAGCUGUACCAAAGAGUUUAACUCUUCAUAAAAGAGAAUAAUCUUUUAAUCAGAGAAGCUGGACAAAAAUCCUAGCCAUGUUUAGAGUGGAUUUAAUUAGUGUAUUUGGGAAUUAUGCAACAUGGUUGCUUGCAGAGCUGGCUUUAGGCCAGGCAACAGCGGGCAGUUACUUAGCUUAGCAGAAUUACUGACAAGGAUAUGAAAAACUUGGCUCCAGAUAUUUAGGUAUACCAAAGCACUACAACUUCCUGUCAUCUUUUGGCUUUUUACAGUCUUAAAUAUUAAAAGCUCCCUAACUACCAAGAAAAGUAGCAAACAAAGUAUCUUAAAUACCUAUCACUAAUUUUGCUUUCAGUGGACUCUCUGACAAAAAUCUCCAGGAUGGAGUGGUGUCAUAUCACAGAGUCUCCCACACCCACCCAGCCUCAUCUCUCCUCAUUACCAUGAUUUCAGCAUUGUUUUGCUUCCAAAAAAGAAAAACUGCUUCUGACAGGUUCUUGGCAAUACCAGGUAAAGUAUGUGCUAGCAGGCCAAUAGUCAUACAUAGAAAUGAGAACAGAACUCACCCACCUUCUGAAGGGACUAUCUAGCAAUACAUCAUCCUUCCUCAAAAAGCAGCCUAGGCCCAAGAGAUGAUUGCCCUUCAGUGGCUGCCCUUAUAUGAGCCCACCUGUCCCUGGGUCCACCCCUUCUGGUCACCUGUGGAGCACAGGUACAAACAAUGUGCCUGUGCUCCCUGGGCCAGCCACACCCCUUCACGAGGUGCUCAGUCACCAGUUCAAGCCCUGAUAUAACAGUUUCCCUACAGGUGUGCUCCUCAAAAGUGCUCUUGCCUCUGCUUGUUUCAGGGGAGACUACUUAAAGCAAUCACUUCAUGAAUCUGCCUGAAAAACUUUCUGCGUGUAUGUGGGUAUCUCUCUGUGGGUCUCUAUGUGGUCUCAAGUUACAUUGCACUUAAGAAGUGAUUGGUUCCCCCAGCAAAAUAAUGCUCAAGUGCCACAAUCAGGGAUCCAGUGAGGGCCAGCUUGAGCUGCAGUUGACAGCGUGGAAGACCACAUGGAACACCUUAUUGCAUCACAUUAGGAGACUACUGAAAGUGAUUGAAGAUACCGCCAACCUCAUCCCCUAGCAUAUGUAUCUUCUACUACUCCAACUCAGUCUCUUGCUGUGUAAGAACUCGAAUGUCAUCACAAGGAAUUUAUCAUGAUUGUGACUUGAUGACAGAAGACGUAUUUCCAGUCCUUGAUUGCUAAAUACUUAGGAAAAAAUAUUACCUUGACUUUCUCUUCUCCUACACAACAUGGAGUGUGAAAUAGAGACCUAUCAUACAUGAUUUUUGUGAAGGAAAAUUCCAUAAAGUAUUUUAAUAUGGUAGUAUUUGAAACGUGAGUGGAGAAGAUAGGGGGUGCACUAUGAUGAGCAUAAUAUUUGGUAGGAGAGCCAGCUUUCUGAAAACUUUGGUUGCUAGCUCUUGUUCAGAUGCUACUUAGAUUUAUGUUAACCCAGCUACUGGGAGUCUGCAUGGUGAGACAAGUCAGGGAAUUCAGCAAAGUUAGAAAGAACACAGAAGAAUGUGUAUGUAUUUUCUGAAGCACUGUAUUUUCACUGUAUGAUUGCAGGGAAAAAAAGAAAAAAGUAUCAGCAUUAAGUAAAGGAAGGAGGUGGAAUAAUAGCUGCUUAAAUCAUAUUAAAUCAAAUACUUUCUAAGUCACAGCUUGAGGUAUAAGUGGACUUUGUUUGUUAAAAAAAAUGUGUCUGGCAGCUGACGGAGCAAUUGAUAAGGACAAUCUGAAGAAAAAUACUUAUGGGGAAAAGGGUGUGAUAGAGGACAGUGAAGACCUACUUUGGGAGCAAAUCAAGCAAAAUGGUUCUCUGAAGAGCAAGUAAAUGAGAUGCUAAUGAAAUAUUAAAUCAUUGCCAGAAAAUAGAAUACAUGAGUUUACACAAUAUUUAUGAUAGAUAAAUUAUAUAUCCUCCUAGAAAAUAGAAUUUAGAAGUAGCAAUUCAAAAAGAUGCUUGGAAGAUUCCAGAUAGAGAUCAUGAAAUUGGAGAGUAUCUAGUGAAGGGAUAAGCAUCAGUGCAAAAGUACAUUUCCUUCUAAUCAUUUAAUGAAUGCUUCUGGUAUUUGAUUUUAGCUGUUUCCUCAUCUAACUUAGAUUUGUUUGUGAAGUACAAGCUGGUGCUUUAUGCAGAAUCUGAAGAUGACAGGAAUUUCAGGAUUGGGUUUAGAUCAAGACACAAGAUCUCUUUAAAAUGCUUAUUCAAGAAACCAGUAGUUAACAGAUUCAUUGUCCUUUAAAAAGAAAAAAUGGGUGAAUAAUACUUAAAAUCAUUCUGUAUAAAAUAGUUCUGGGUAUACAGUUCUGUGAGUCUAACUGUAUGCAAUUUACAGAAGAUAUAUAACGGUAGAUACCACAGAGACUUUUUGUGUGGUAGAUAUCAUGCAGACACAGAACAAAGAAAUUGUAUUAUCAGAAAUGAAGUGUUAAACCAGCACUUUAAAAUCACUUUAUACCAUUUUGACUCCCUGAUCUGUAUGUUACACGAGUCUCAUACUCUGGGUUAUAAGUUUUUAAAAUGAUUUCUAAGUCUCUAUUUUACGUAAAUUAUGUCAUCUUUCAAUCUCAGUAGCUUUGGCACAUUUUAUCACCCCAAGCAGGUCGUAAUUUGUUAGCUUUCUUUGCUUGAACUGAGUAGUAUAGUAUUAUAUUAGGUUCUUUUUUUUCUCAUUUUAAAAUGACUUUAUAUGACAAACACUGGACUGUGAGAGAUCUACUCUGACUAUUCAAGGACUCCUCAGAACUAAUAAAUGUUGUGAAAUGGCUUCUGACAAUCUGGUACUUUUUCAGUAAUGAAGAAGUAGAAGUCAGCAGCUCCCUACCUAUAAGCCCUAAGAUUUAGAGUACGUGGGGACAUGAGCCGCUUUGGUUUACUUAGAUUCAAUUUUUACCACCAGUUUUGUCUAUAAGCAGUGAAGAAUACAUAUAUAUCUUAAGGCAGCCCAGUGCUUCAGAGAGUGGAAACCUGAAGCCAGCUAACCAUGUCCCAAAGGGUAAUCCCAUUAAAAACAAUGUUAGGGAUUAGUGUGGGAUGUAUUUUUUGAAAGCAAUUUGUAUUCCACUGAAGGCAAACUUUCAAAAGCAGAGUUAGAAGUUAGCAUCAAAGAGUUAACCCUAUAUAAGCAUUGUGUCAUUAAUUUUCAAGGCCUUCUUACCCAUCCUUCCCAGGGAGAGGCUGGUUUUAGGCAGUUGAAAUUGCAGAGAUCAAAACGCUUAUUAAAGAUUUAUUAGGGUAAGGAAUAUACUGUACCUACUACAGAAGAUAAUUUAUAUAUCCUACCACAUUUCUGGAAACAGUGAAUUUUGAUAGAUUCAUGGAAGGCUAAGGACUGUCUGAAAAUGUGGUGGCAGCUCAUGUAGUAAAUAGAACAGGCCAAGGACUGCUCUCUGCUCCUGGGGCCAUCUGGCACAACGUAUCCAUGGGACUGAGUUUUCUUCAUCCCAAAACAAAGCAGCAGCAUCCACACACCUACAGGAUGUGGUCACUGACCAUGUGAAGCCUAGCAUCAUGCCUGGGAGGAAAGAUAGUGUGCUUGGGACAAAAUUUACUAAUAUGCAGUAUGGACAGUUACGUGCCAAAGCCUGGACAGGUCCACUGGUACUGUCUCUGUGUUGGUACAGACUUAGCCAAAGACUACAGUGGAGCAGCUGCAGAAUUACAGACAGCAAGGAGGACAGCUAAGACAGUGGAGGUUGUAUAGAUAAGGUGUAGAUUUAGAAUUUAAAAAAUAGAGUUCAAACCAUAGAUGGCUGCUCAAGAUGCUUUUAAAAUGUAGCUAAACUCCUAAUGUUUGGGCGUACUCUCCCUUUUAGUGGGAAUGAAGGAUUUAACGUAAUGUUAAUGACAUUUAAAGUGUCAGAUGGUUUCUGCAUUUUCUUCCACAGCUUCUGCUGUAUAUCUAAAGGGAUAUAUGAGGAUAAUUGGCAAAUACCUUCUAAAAGCAAGGUAAUUUACAAAUAUAUGUGAAUCACCAACCCACAUAAAGCUAUCAGAAGGGCAGUGUUGUAUAAGAUUGCUGUUUAAAAAUUGCUGUACUUCACAGAUAUUAAAUGAUCACCGUAUCCUUAAGAAAAAAGUUUGGGCAAGGUUGUGGCCAGUUUCAGAUGUGGCAUUUGCUACAAAUGGUGUUCCUUCAAGUUUUAGUUUAGAUAAUUUCUAUAACUUUGCUGUUUGUUACUGCACAUAACUGUAGAAGUCUGUAGAAAUAUCACUCUGUAAAUGGAAUCCUGAACUCUUCCCUCCAGUGAAUAUCUGUGGUGUUUAGUGGGAGUUAGUCAUGAAGUGUGACCAGAUUUUAUGAUGUUAUUCAAGAAUUUUACCAGUUUUGUAACAAAUUAUAGAUAUUCUGCAUGGAAAAUUUGACAGAAAAAACUAGGAAACAGUGAACUGUUUUUGUAGUAGUUAAUGUCAAGGUAUAUAUACAGUCCCACGGAUCCUACUGAACAUGAUAUUCAUUACAUAGUUACAAAGGCAGAGUUUAAAAAUACAAAUUUUGUGAAAGCCACAAGCCCCCUGUUGUCAUAAUACAUUAUAAGAAAUUAAUCUACUGUUUCUUUUAUUUAAAAACAAGCAAAAAGCAAACAAACAACAAAAAAAAAAAACACACAAUGAAAUCAGAUCACUUGAAGUGUUUGAAUGUUUGUCUAAGGGUUUAUAUGUUUAAAUCUUUAUGAAGGACGUAAUUAAAAAUUAGAGAGUUGUGAGAUUCUGCAAUGGACUAAACCUUGAAGUAAAUUGUGAUGGUAAGGUGGGUGCUUGUGCACUGUGUCAGAAUGAAAUGCAGACUGAUGCAUUUGACUUCGUAAAGAAAAAUGAUAUCUGGAUAGUAGUCAUCCAGACUUUCCAGACAAAAAGAGAAAUUCCACGUGGCCUGGGUUCACGUUAUGCGAGGAACGUGCUGAGGUCCAGCUGCUAUUAAAAUAAAAAUUAUAUACUUAAAGUUAGGCAGGAACUUAAAGUCUUCUAAAUUCUCUUUCUAGUACUUUUAUUGAAUUAUUGCUUUAUUAGACAAGUUUAGAAGUCUUCUGUUGCUGUCUAUCUUAAUGUCUCUUACAUUUAAUCUAGUGGUUGGCAACUGUGCCCACAGCAGGGGGUUGAAACUAGAUGAUCUUUAAGUCCCUUUCAACCUAAGCCAUUCUUUGAUUCUAUGAUCUCAUGUAUCUUCAUUUGUAUCUACUAAGAAUGGAGAUCAUCAAUGAAUUUCAUAUUUCUUUUAAAAAGAGUCUGUUCUGUUGCCUGUAUCAGUUCCGCUGUAAUAAACAGAAAUAAGUCUUCCAGUACAUUCACCUCCUUCUGAGCUGUUUAUCAAGCAAAGUUCUUUGUAUCAUUCUACUUCAGCUUCUGAGAAAGAUAACACUGCUCAAAAUGGUACAGCAUCUGUUGGAUUGCACAAAACCCUACAUAGUUUUAUUAUAGAGCUGCCUGCAAGAUCUUAAUUAAUUGUUCGCAUAUGAAACAAUGACAAAUAGUGUUUCAUUAGGUGGUGAUAUUUUUAAUGCUGACUUAUAUCCCUAUGUCUGUUUGGACUGUGUGUGUGUAAAGAGGUUAGUGAAUUCAUACUGCAUUAAAAGUAUAUAUAUGAAAUAUUUAGAGAAAGAAAUUGCAAAAUACUACACCAAAACCACCACCACCAACAAAAAGCAACAACAAAAAUCCAUGUGGCCAGCUCUGUUAGCACAGAGAGCUAUUUUCUAUUUUGUUUCUAUUUUAUCUGAGAAAGAAGCUUUGUUUGGCAUGCUUUUGUUACCUUUGCUACAGAACCUCCCAGGCACAUUGCAUUUAGAGCCAUCUGAGGAGCCAGGCCAACUCCACAAGCUGAGAGCAGACUCCUGGCAGGUGCUAAGAUUUUCUCUGCUCACUGGCUGUCCAGCACAGGUAAAAAAGUACAAGGAAGGUACAACACUAAGCUGUUACAGCACAUGCUGAAACUUUGCUUCAUGGAAAGCAUUUCAUAACUGAUCAAAUGCUCCAACCAUUUUAAGACUGAAAAGAUACAUCUUCCUUUUGAGACAUUUGGUUGUUUUAUGCUUACUACUUUUAAUGUAAUUACUGGUGUUGAGUGAAAAAAGUGUGCCCUGAGUCUUCUGAGGCUACUUUAGAAAUAUUUAAUUUUUCAGUUUUAUAUUUAAAAUCAAUAAAUGCAUCCAGCACGUUUGGUUUUGGAUUGUUUCUGGAAGAUAGUUUGGAGAUACAGUAAGAUUUCUGAGCAGCAAUUUCAAGCUUUGAAAAAAAAUUACUCAUUUAGAAAAGGUUCUAUUCACAUUUUUUUCAGCAGUACAUAUUGAAUUACUAUAAACAUUAUAUAUAUAUACAUAUAUAUAUAUGUAUUUUAAAGUCAGUGUUAUUGAAUAAUACAGAACACUUGCCUGUUUUCCAAACCACUGAAGAAUUUGAAAAAACUGCUGCUGGAAGUGGCAAGUUUUUCUGUGUAAACACCUUUAUUUCUUUAGACAUAAUUUUAAAAAUCUCAGUUUUACCUCAGCAUGAAAGAGAUCAGGAGCAGUUUCUUUUGCACAAUAUUCAAAAUUAUUAUUUCUGAGAAAGUUUAUAAAAUAUGGCAACUCUUUAUGGAAAACUUAAUAUCUGGAAACAGACAUAGCAUGUAUUUCUUUCUGUACGUGAGAUGAUGGUAUUCUACUAUGCAAGUACAGAAGAUGACUCCCUCCUCUAUUGUCAGUAUCUGUGCUGUAUAGAGGAUUUCCUCACCAAAAACCUCUGAAAAAAAUUUUGUCAGUCUCCCUGAGGCACUGUGGCUGUUUGUCAAAUCUCCCUUUGCCUGGAUGCUAAGGCUCAUCGUAUGACAUUAAAUGUUCUAACAGUGAUAUGGAUCAGCAAGUCUGAUUUGCACAGUCUAGAUCUGAUUUCAGCCUCACUGUGAUUUUGUGCUGUUGGAUCUCUUCGCUUUCUUAAUGUCGUUGGAAAUACUCUCAGAUUACAUCAGAAUAUCCCAGAAAGUGAAAUCAAAUGGCUGGUCAGCUUCAGCUCAGAGUGGUCGUGUUGUGAAUCUGGGACUGAUCCAGUAAAACUUCAUUUGGUUUACAAGAUGUUCUAGUCAUUUAUGUUUCUUUUUCAUACAUGUACACAUAUCAGUUAUCUAACAGUCAAUGCUGUGAAACUGUUGACAGUAAAUUUUCUGUCAACUUUUAAUUCUGCUUCUUUUCUAUAAUUAUGUCCGUAAUAGAUUUUGUCUGCUAAUCUGUAUCUCUGUCACCUCAUUUUUUUUGUACAAUACUUUGUACAAUACUUCAUACUUUGAAUCUUCUGGAUUUAUUUUUUAAUUUAUUAUUUACUUUGGGAUUUAGUGUUUAUGUUAUAAAUUACCACCAGAGACCAUUCCACAUUGUUGGUUGGUCCAACAGUGGUCCAAAAGAAUUUAAUCUAGGACUUUGAGUCACCAGCCAUCUGAUCUAAAGGCAUCAAAACCAGGCAUAAGGUUUAAAUCAGUGCGUAGAGAUGGUUUUAACAGGCUGCUGCAUUUUGGCUGCAGACAGGCUGGGUUCUGGUUAGAAUGAAUGGGUAGAGACUGUCCUAGAGGCUGAAUGGCGGUUUCUUCCACAGACAGUGAGUACAAGGGAGUCCUAUCAGAUGUUCUUGCUCUUCUGUGUGCCUCUGAAAGCUGCUGUUUUAUAGGAGUGCCUGUUUUCAAAUUUGGUUGUUUUUUCUAUUCCUGGGAUAUUUGAACUCUAAUUGCACUGGGAAUCAGCAAGAAGAAGUGGCAGUAUUUCAAAGUUGUUAUUUAAUAGAUGUAAUAGCUGUUUGAUAGGAUGAUUCAUAUAUCAGAAACAUUAGUAUGAACAGUAUAUCUUAUUCAGGACAGACAGAUAACAGAAAGAGAUACAGGUGUUACCUUAUGUGCUACCCUACAUGAAGAUUUACUUGCUCUGAGAUUAAGAAUAAAAAAGGGCAUGGAACGCUUCAUUGUUCCUGACUGACAUUUAAAGAGGAAAAAGUUCUUAUGUUUUGAUGGCAGUCAGCAGUGGGACACCUAUCAAGAAGAUGUCCUUGAUGUGAUGAAUAUUUCCAGAUUUUUAUCUUUUCAGAUACUUUUCAGAUUUGAUCCUCAUAAUCAGGUAAAUGCAUGGAGGAAAAAACAAUUUAAAAUAACUUGAUGAGUUAUCAUGAAACAGCAGAAUUCAAGAGCAGGAAAAGAGGCAACGUGCUUCAGACGAACAGAUUAUAGACAUUCAGAGAACCAGUGAGAAACUGUGGGAGACUGUUCUGAGAGAGUUAAAAAUAGAAGAUUCUUUAAAGAAACUAUGUUAAAUGCAAGUUCAUGCAGAACUAUGCAAAAUAAACCAUGUGAUCUAGUAAAUUAUGAUGGUAUGGAGGAAGGAUAAGAGAUGUAGGUCCCUCACCAACGAUAAGACUUUUAAGAAUGAUGAAUAGCUGGACAUUUGAGACCAAAGAGAGAAACUGAGAAGCAGAGAUAGAAAACAAGUAGUGCAUAGAUGUUGUUUAGUUCACAGCAUUUUGGUGCACUAACGGGUACAGGAAGCUAAGGAAAGGCUAGGUCCACUUCUUUACAGAGUGAAGGCAUGGACAAACAAAGCCUGAAAGCCUAAUAUUAUCUUGCUUUACUCUGAAGGUCAGUUGUGAGCAGAUGACAUAUUGAAACGCACCCAUGACGACAAAAAAAAAAAAAAAAAAAAAAAAAAAAGGAAGAACUACUUUGAGAGGGAAAGAAGAUAUUUUUAUUUGUGUAGAUAAUCAAAAUAUGUUCUAAUCAGCUAGAUCAAUGUGACAUUCUCAAACUCUUGAAAAGGCUAGAAAGAGUUACUAUUUUUAAAAAGAAAUAGAAGAGAUGGUAUAAAGUUAUAAACCAAACAGUUAAUUUCAAUUCCUGCCAACAUAGUGGAGAUAAAUAGUUAGCAUAUUUUGUUGUGAACAUUUAGAAAGUAGCAUAUGAAGAAGAAGGAGUUGUCAAUAAAAAUCACAUCAAACCAAAAUCCAUUCUGUUAAGGGACAAUAUAGCUGUAGAAAAGCAGUUAAUGCAACAUUUUGAUUUCAGUGAGUCUUCUGACAUCUCCUAGAACACUCUCAUAAGAAAGCUAGGAACAUAUGGUCUAUAUGAAAAUGUUGUAAGGGAAAGAAAUCAAGCCACAGCAAUACGUUGAGUGGGUUUUUUCAAUAAUCUGUUCUUAUUCUAGAAUUAUUUGAUAUUUUCUUCAAUGACUUGUCUGACAAAGAGGAGAGGAGCUCAUAUUUGCAAAUGAUGCCUGUCUAGAAGGAAAUGCACGUGGAGAAUUCAAACUGAAAAUAUUCUUGUUAAUUUAGAGAAAAGAUUUGAGAAAAAGCAGGAUGUAAUUUAAUAAGAAAAAAGUGUGCGUGUCUCUCUACUUAAGCGGCAAUCAUCUGCCCAAGCACAGUUGUAAAGGUGCCCAUGUAACUAUCCACAUCUAGAGGGACCUUGAUAGGCUUGAGAGAUUAGCCCAUACAAACAUAAUAAAAUUCAAUAUGGCCAAGUGUAAGUUCCUAAUCCUGGGUCAAGGCAAUUCCAAGCACAACUACAGGCUAGGUGGGGAAUGGAUUGAGAGCAGGCCCAAGGAAAAGUGUUUGGGAGAGUUGGUUGAUGAGAAACAACACAAGUCCUCAGUGUGCACUUGCAACCAGGAAAGCCACCUGUAUCCUGGGCAGCAUCAAAGAAGCCUGGCCAGCACAAGGUGAAGUAGUUGAUUCAUCCUCUCUAAUUUGUUCUCACGGGACCCUACUUGAAGUACUCUGUUCAACUGUACUGGAUUCAGAUUUGCAGAAAAUCAUACAGUAUUUUGCAGAAAGGGUAAAAACUCCGUUUUAGGACUAUCUAGAACAUCUCAUAGGGGAUUUACUCUUUUUUUUUCUAUUUAAGACUUGUCUUUGAACAGUUGAUUACUCUCACACUCCAUAGCUAUAUAUAUAUUAUAUACGUAUAUAUAUAUAUGUAAAUUGCCCAGAAUUGCAAGUGAAAUAGUUUCUGUACACAGUUCCAGGCUAAAAGACUUUUCUUAGGUAUUUAAAUCCAAAAAGCUUCAACUUGUCUGAACAUUUUCAAGGAGAGCUAGAGGAACUGAAAAUACAGAGUCAUGGAGCAAUUCGAUAAGAGUAGAGCUGCCAUUGAUGUGGACUGUUCCAAACAAACUUCAGCAAAGCCUUUCACCAAGUAGAUACAAUUAGGAAGAAAGAGAGUAAAUGUAUCAUAGUAACGGAAAUAACAAGCUUUCACAGCUUGGCCAGUAUCAUGGGAGUUACUAUACCACAGCAGGCUGGCACAUGUUCUGUUUGUAAAAUACAGUGUACAGUACAUGUUUCCAGGAAAAUCAUAAAGACAUUUAUGAAUUACACUGGAAUUAUGUUGAAUUCCCUUCCUUUCUCUCACAGAGAUGGUUUCAUUGCUGCACAGCUAAACAAGUCAGUCUCUCGGGGGGAAAUAUGAAAGUGUAGUGGUGACAGAAAGCACCUCUGAUACAUGACCAGAUCACUGCAUAAUGCAUUACUCUUAUCCAUCCUCAACCUUAAAAAUCAGCACUAAGGUCUACAGCAAAAGUGGAACUGGCUUCUAAUAUUGAGGAAUUAAAGCCUUACAAAUGGAUUUGAUAUGAAUAAAUCACAUGAAGUCCUCACUGUCAAGUCCUCAGGAUGCUGUCAUUUCUUUGGGAAAAAAAUAAUAAUUAAAAAAAAAGGGUAACUUUGAGAAGAAUAUGAGAAAUACAUUUUCUGGCAAACUACUCUUCUACACCUAUCAAAUUAUUAACAUUUUGAAUCUAAAAGCAAUUGAAAACUGCUUAAGAGGUUGAGAUGUUAAACUAAUCAGAGAUUAUGGAUUGCUGGGCAGAUGAGAUCAAGUGUUAUCAUGAAUUCUUGUCAUGUGACCCUGAAAUUUAAGGCACUGUCAGAAUGUGUGGUUGAUAUGUAUAUAAGACAUUUAUUAUAAGACUUAUUAUAAGACUUUCAAAGAAAACAAAUGAUAUGUUGUUAUUUUUCUCUUGGUUUUGGUGACUUGAAGGGAAAUUUGGAGGCUUCAGUAAUUACAUAGGUAACUCCAAAAAUAAUGCCUCCUACUUAUUUCCAUGGAAACUACAACAGAUGCAAAGAGCACAGUAACAUUAUUUGAUUCAGUAAAUUCUCAGCUACAAGGCAGUGUCUUUCAGCAUAGUCACCACCACUAGCUGUGCAUUUUCACCAGCAAUAAGCAAGAGCCUACAUGCCAUGCUGAUGAAAACCUGCACAAGAGAAGGUGACCCACUGUUUCACAGCUGCUGUGAUGGCAUAAUUGCUAAGAAAAUAUUGUCCAUCUUUCAUUGGCCUGAAUGAAUAGAGGUCAGAAGGCAACAAAUCCAGACUGUGCGGUGGGUGUGGUAGGACAGUCAGACAGGACUGUCAGUGUGUUCCAUGGUCUUUGAACUGGUGUGGAGCCUGACAUUACUGUAUUGAAAUAAAUGUUGUCUUCUUCUCUUGUCUGACUAUGAAAGUUUGAGCCUUCAGCUUAGUCAGCAUCAUGAUAUAGUGGUCAGAGUUGAUGGUUUAUCCAGGUUCCAGGAAAUCUGAAAGGAUCACCUCUUUCUUAUCACAAAAGACAGUGCAUAUCAUUUUAUCCACAUCAAUGGGGAAUUCACAUACUGCCACUCCAUGGACUACUGUUUUGACUCUGGCUCAUAGUGGUGACACUGCAGUUCAUUGCUGUUAAUGAUGCUACCCAGGAAACCAUCACCUUCAGCCUUGUACUUGUUCAAUAGGUUCUGACAAACUUGCAUACAGUGUUCUUUCUGUUUCAGUGAGAGCAUUCUUGGGACCCACCUGGUGCAAACUUUGUGAUAUUUUAAUGUUACCACCGUUUCCAACUCACUGAAGCUGAUAUUUAGCUCCACACACAGUUUCCUGGUUGUAAUCCAUAAAUUUUUGGGAUCAAGCUGCUUAAGGCGCUCUUCAUUUUGUGGUGUGAUGGCUGUGCAUGGCUGUCCAGAACACGUCUUUUUCACAUCACUGUCACCACUGCUGAAAUGCACCACCGCCUCACUGUGCUCACAUCCACAGUUUGAUCUCCAUCAACAUUCACCAAGCACCAAUGAAUGUCAAUGGGUGCAUUUAUUUCUGCGUGGAGGAAUUCAGUGACACACCUUUGCUUGAUGUGCACUUCCAUGUCAGAUGCCAUUUUGUCAGACUGCCCCUCUGCUGCUAUCUGUCACAUGGCAAGAAAAUGUAAUGGAAUAUUGGCAGGAGUGUUCAACUUCAACUUCCAUAUUGCCAAUAUCCACCUCGGAUAUCUUGGGCUUACAUAGUAAAACAAAUGGCAUUACUUUUCAGAGGAGUCCUCAUAUAGGAAAGUCUGUGAGUAACUGUAUCGAUUUAUCCUGAAUUUGAAGAAUCUCCACACUGCUUUAACAGGAGCAACUGCAGUUUCCCUGGACUUCAGGAACCUGGAUUCAACACCUAGAGGUGGGAUACUUGUGGAAUUCUUCCAAGCUGAUGUGUAAGAACCCUGUCACUUGGGCUGUCAUUAGGAACUGCAACAGGCUUGAUUCUUUGUUCUGCUCUUCUCCCACUGUGUUUCUGCACACAUCCCCAGCUAGAAUAAUUGACAAUGGAUGCUGUGUAUGGGACUGAACUGUUUUACAUAAGGGAAAAACUACACUAAGAAAUUUUCACAUUUUUAUAACAUACAGUCAAUAGUCAAAACCAAUAAACAGUAAUAUGUUUUCAUUUCAGUGAUGAUGAAAGCUGUAAUACUAGUUUUGUUUAUCAAUGGAGACCUCAUUUUUUUUUCUUUAGAUACAGAUGAAUAAGAAUUUGAGUUACACAUUUUAUUAAACAGAGAAACGCAGUUGUUUUGUUCUCUGGUUUAGGAGCACAGAUGGAAUGUAAAAGAGGGCAGGUGAAGGAGGCUUGAACACGAAUUUGUAACAAUUAGUAGGCUGGAUUACAACUUGUAAGUAAGAGUCAUGUGAUAUAAAUAUAUCAUGGCCACGUGGCCCAUUUGGGCUAUAUAUUGGGUGUAAAAUAGCAACUAAAUGUCUGGAAAGCAACUACUUGCCUGUCUAUGAGACAUCUGGCUUUUUUCCUCAUCUUGAGAAUAACUUGCUGCUGCAGCCAACUGUUGUGUUUCUGGGAACUGUUUUAUUUUCCUGCAUAAAAUGUAAGUGUAAUGUGACACAAACCAAUUUUCUCUUUUAGAUUACUUAGUAGAAUUUUUUAGUUUAUUUAUUUAUUUAUUUUGGAUCUUUGCUGCAGCAACCUCUGCUUCUUUUGCUACCCUUUUUGGCUGCCCUUCCUACCAGCCUCCUGGCCAACUAGUUGGGUUGGUUUAAUCAUUAUAUUUGGUACAGAUUCCCUGCAUUUAAAAGACCCAAUGCCUUUUCUUAAUGGUGUUUUUAUUAACACAGACCAGGAAAAGAUCAUUGAAUCACAGAAUUGCUUAAGCUGGAAGGGACCUUUAAAGGUCAUAUAAUCCAGUCCCCCUGCAAUGAACAGGGACACCUACAGCUAGAUCAGGUUGCACAGAGUCCAGUCAGCCUGACCUUGAAUAUCUCCAGGGAUGGGGCAGCCAUCACCUCUCUGGGCAACCUGUUCGAGUGCCUCACCACCAUUACUGUAAAAAUCAUUUUUCUUAUGUCCAAUCUAAAUCUCCCAUCUUUUAGUUUGAAAUUAUUUCUCCUUGUUCCAUCACAACAGACCCUGCUAAAGAGUCUGUCCCCUUCUUUCUUACAGCCCCCCUUUAGAAAAUGAAAGGCUGCUCUCAGGUCUCCCUGGAGCCUUCUCUUCUCCAGGUUGAGAAGCCCCAGCUCUCUCAGCCUGUCCUCAUAGAAGAGGCAUUCCACUCUUUGGAUCAUUUUUGUGGCCUUCCUCUGGAUGUGCUCCAACAGGUCCAUAUCUCUCCUGUGCUGAGGACUCCACAUCUGAAUGCAAUAUUCCAGAUGAGGUCCCACCAGUGCAGAGUAGAGGAGCAGGAUCACAUCUCUUGACGUGCUGGCCAUGCUUCUUUUGAUCCAGCCCAGGAUGCGUUUGGUUUUCUGGGCUGUGAGAGUACAUUGCUGGCUCCUAUAGAACUUGCCAUCCACCAGUAUCCCUAAAUCCUUUUCAGCAGGGCUGUGCUAUCCUUACAUCCCCCAGCCAUCCCUAAAUCCUUUUCAGCAGGGCUGUGCUCUAUCCUUUCAUCCCCCAGCUUGUAUUGACAGUAGGGGUUGCCACAACCCAGACGCAAGACCUUACUCUUGGCUUUGUUGAACCUCAUGAGGUUCUCCUGCACCCACUGUUCAGGCCUGUCUAGGUCUCCCUGGGUGACAUCCCAUCCCUCAGGCAUGUCGACCACACAACACAGCUUGGUGUCUUCAAAGCUCAUAGUAAAAAGGUUGCUGUUUUAUGAGCCAAAAUACAGCCAUCUGAAUGGUUUGGAGCUGGGAGACUGCAGCUACUUCUCUGUGUAUUACACUGUCAGAGGUGUCUCCUGGUGCUCUCCACUAGCCUGCAGUCAUAAGGGUAAUUUUCUUUAGAUCCUUACUGAUUUCUCACCCUCCUGAGGAAUGCUGAAGCAUCUAGAAAAACAGUGUGAAGGCAUUCACUUUUUGGAAAUAGAUACGGUGGAACAGUGAGAUACAGCUCACAGGCUACAAUUCUUCUUUCUUUUUCUGAAAUUUCCUUUCUAGUAAUAGAUUAAUUGAAUCCACUUCUCUAUUUCUGAAAACUACUGAGCUAGAUUAAAAGUCAAGCCUUCCACUUAUAUUUUUUAAAUUUUCUGUUUCCCAUCUUCAAAUGUUUCAUGAAACUGCCACUGACAGACAAAGAAACUGAACCUAAAGAUCACUAUUUCCCACUUGUUUACCCAGGACUCGUUGGUAUACAAAUGUUAACUUUUCUGGAGUAAUGAAACGAUUAUAUAUAUCACUUGUGAAUUUUUGGGAGCUAGUUGACAUAUAAUCUGGCAUUCUAUUUGUGCAAAAAGCAGAUUAGGUAUUUUGUGAUAUGUCUUUUAGGACAAACUAUGGAAAGAGCAUUAUUACAUGUAAUUCUGGUAACAAAGAAUGGAACAUUUGGGCGUGAAAUGAGUAAUAAUACUAUUGACGGACAGAAAAAAAUGCAUCUGUAUGUGUGUAUUUAUAUCUAUAACAACACUUGCAAAAUUGAAAAUUCUUUUACUGUCCUCUCCUGAUGAUUCUUUUCAGCCCUGAGCCAAGGUCCUUAGCAUGGUCUUUUCCCCCUGCUAUUCACUGUUGGGUUGCAAGGUUUAAUUUAACUACAACAUGAAUAAGGAGACAUUGCACUUCAAAGCAGUAACUCUCAGCAGUUCUAAAAUACAGACCUCUGUAGAAUCAUAGUAAAUUCACUCCUAAAUUGUCACUUUUUUUUUUUUUUUCCACUAAUUAUAGCAACUGAAUUAACAGACUGAGGCAACAGAAUAUAUGGGGUUAUUCAACUACAUUAUAUACUUUAUGGGUUCCUUCAGAAGGAAAGAGAAGCUAUAGCUACAGUAGAAUAAACUUUCUCUUCUCAGAACAUUGAGUCCAUGGCAUUUUUAUUUGAAAACUCACUCUUUGAUUGUGGUGCAAUGGGAGGAGUUUUCACAGCAAUUAAAUUUAAUCAAAACAAUCAUCCAUUUUAGCUCAAUUUGUAUGUUCACGUAGUUUUAAAGAGAGUAUGCCUUCUUCUGUCCUUUAGAAGUACAUAAUCUGAUUUGGCAGGGCACAUUUGUGGUGUCUCUGUGGUAGAUUUUCUAUUAAACUUACAUAAAUGCUCCCAUUCUUGAGAAAAUAAGUCAGAUGAGUUGGUCUGAGACAUUCAUUAAAGCCUACUCCAAAACAUGUUUUAUAUGAAAAAUGGCUUUGCUACUGAGAAUGAUUGGUAUGUCAAGAAUUUCAUUUCAGGCAACAUUUUUGUUAUUAGAACAAGCUUCUGUUGUCUACACAGGGGUUUUGUUCAGAAAGAUAUAAUGCAAGAUAGGAAAAAAGCAUCCUUCCAGUGUUCUUAUCUACUAUGCAGUACUUCUAUUGUAAGCAUAGAUAAUAACAAUUCUAAUAUUUUUUUUCAUUUCCUUGGGUGCUGCUUCUUACAUCUUAUAAUGGUCCUCAUGAUUUUACUGCUCCUUCUCUGGAUGCUGGGAAAAUAAUCAGAGCUUGUUUUGUGGUGAGCAGUGUACUUGUUUAUUGAUACCUUAGACCUGGAAGCUUUAAAGGUGAUCUUUUAAAUCCCUUUUCAACUGUCUGUAUUUCCAUGUAAAAUAGGAAGACAAUCACAUUAAAAUGUUUUCCUUGUUUCAUACAUCA
ensembl:lncRNA